AAUUCUACAAGUAGCUAAAGAAAAAAGAACUGAAUUGCUUUAAGUUACAUGGCAGAUACAGAACUGCAGCCCAGAUAACCAGAUAACUUCCCCCGAUAAUCAGUGUGGUGAAAACAUUUGUGUUGGAGUGUCAGAAGUGCUCAAUAGAUGACCUUCGUGUCGCUCGUUUAUCAUGUGAUGGCGCCAUGGCGGAUGGCGGAUUGUUGUCUUGUUGAGUGGUUGUCAAAAGUUUCCUGUUUUUCCAUGAAAAUUACCGAUGAAUUCAUAAGUAAAUUCAAGUUUAUUUCUGUGCAACUUGUUUGUGAUGUGAUUUAUUCCGUAAGUGUGUUAGAAUUGUUAGAUAUCCUUUCACUCUUUCAGAUUUCUUAUUAUAAAGUGUAGGAAGGAACGCGAAAGACAACUAGCCUACAAGUAGCCUACCAAUGCUUCAUCCUGUUAAUACAGGCGUGGUCCUCUCUAUUGUGGUUGUGAAUCUCUACUCUCUACUCGUCAACAUCUAUUGAGGAAUAACGAAUCUGCACUUAAAUAACGAUGGCGCAUUGCCAAUAAGUUUCAGCCAUUGACAGUAGACAGCAUGUUGCACGUCAUUUUGUUCUGGACUGGAGGAAGUGAGUUUUCAGUUUUCACUGAACACCCUGGAAUUCUCUAAAUUUAUUGAUCAUUGAUCAUUUGCCGACAAGGACAAGCAACAAGGCAACAUGUGAUGAUUCUGAUCUUGCCAUGAACGGAAGAGAACACUUGGUGCAAGAUCAUAAUUUGAUGGUUAACUUAUGAAGAGAAGGUGAGGAGAAAAUAAGGAUCUUAUUCCUCCAACAACUAUGGCAGAUUUGUUCCCGGUUUACCCUCGCCGCUGUUCGAUAGACUUUAUCAAUUAGUGGAAAACGACGAGUAGUUGGCCACGCUGAAUUUCAAGAUCUAUAAAUUAUAUAUAAGUUUAUAAAUUACAAGUGCAUAUCUGGGCUCCCUUCUUCAGUGGCCCCGUUUCCCUAAAUAACCACUAACCAACGCCCGCCGGUGGUCACUCACUCGCUGCGACAACCAGGAGGAAGGGAGAUGUUUGGUCGAACGGGGACUUGCAAGGCGCAUGAUUCGAUGAAAUCUGUUGGAGGGUCAUGAGUCUAAGCCGGAAGCCUACUAUGACACACUGCUCUCAUAAUAACUGCUCCUCAGCUCUCUUCGCUCUUUUUCCGGUUUCUCUUAACCAUGGCCGGGUAAUCUUCCUGGUCGAGUCAGUCGGGCAGUGUCUCCCCCUGCUCGACUGGCAGCAGUUUGACCCGGACGAUCUGUUUAAUAAGCUGUUUUAAAUAAAUUUGUUUGUUACUUUU